UGUGUCAACGGUAAGCGGAGCGAAGUGAGCAUUAAGGAGUUGAAACAAUCAGCGAC
rfam:Bacillus pumilus SAFR-032, complete genome.